GAGAACCUAGUAAACACACAUUACAUGGCUUUGUCAUAGCCAAAUCACAGCCUCUGUGGCUCUCA
rnacentral:tRNA from 1 species